ACACUUGCCUGGCAGGAGAGACACCUUGAUCAGGAAAAGUGGCUUUCUCAGAAUGAAGCUCAUCCAUCCCAUUUGUCAUGUGCUGACUCCUGCCAUUUCCUCAAAUGUAGAAAAGUCGUAUGUGGUAGUGGGAGACUGUGUUCACACUCUGCCA
ensembl:snRNA U1 U1 spliceosomal RNA